rnacentral:rRNA from 1 species
UACGUAGGGGGGCAAGCGUUGUCCGGAAUCAUUGGGCGUAAAGAGCGUGUAGGCGGCCAGAAAAGUCCGCUGUGAAAACUCGAGGCUCAACUUCGAGCUGUCGGUGGAAACUUUCUGGCUAGAGUCCGGAAGAGGAGAAUGGAAUUCCUGGUGUAGCGGUGAAAUGCGCAGAUAUCGGGAGGAACACCAGUAGCGAAGGCGGCUCGCUGGGCCAUACCUGACGCUGAGACGCGAAAGCGUGGGUAGCAAACAGG